CUAAUGCAGGUUCUCCCGAGUCCCCUCAAUAUGGCAGGGAGUUCUAGUAGCUCAACUGCUAGUUCAGGCCAUUUGUUGCCUUCAAUGCCAAUGUAAAAUCUGGGACCUUUUUGCUACUCAUCCUAUCUACUCCCUGAUAAGAGGUCCUUCAUUUGAGUGUUUACACACAAGAGUGCAACAUCUGAAAAAAGAAAGCAAGUCAUCAAAGAAGUCUGGACCUGAAUCAGAAGUACUUCAAUUGCAGCAGGAGCUUCAAAAAAGCCUCCAGACCAACUUGAGUUACGAGCUGAAGAAAAUGCACGACAGCUACAGAAAGCUGUUGGAAGAGCAGAAGAAAGUGGGAGAAUUAUUGCUUGCCAGCAAGUCAUUAUCUACACAAAUCUGGAAGUCACUACAUUUGGCUCAGGAAUCAGGAUCAGUUGAGUGAUAGAAUAAAUGACUUGUACUGGUGUGAAUUUGAGUUUUGCUUAAGAGUUUUUUGGGAUUUUGAACCGAAGUUGAGUAUGCACAUGGCUGAAAUUACAGAUGUGUGAAGUACAAAUUACAGGAGCGCAGUCAGGGUUCUUUACUCGGGUUGGUUUCUCCUUUAUAAAGUUAUUAAACAGAAAGCCUGGUCACUCUUUACUUCCCGAUUUCAGUCAUGACCAGUUCACGCCCUAAUUCUUUGCCGCUGCACCAAGUCCUCACGCCAGCUAGCUAUGGUUAUGCUAGGUGUUUUCAAAAGGUUAAGACAAGUUUGAGAAACUAAUAACAAUAUGGAGCUGGGGAAUACACGAAGUUUGUGGUUCAAGUUAAUUUGGAGAAAAAUCAUCCAAGAUUGAGGUGCUGCUGUUGAAAUUGAUUGAUGAACGGAGAAAUUAAGAGUAUUAGAAUUUGUAUAGGAUUAGGAUAAGCGGGUUUUCUCCAAUUCGAAUGGAAAAAUUGAGCAAUAAAAGGCCUCACCUGUUCGGACAUUCAUAACCAGUCCAUACAACUCCUACCUGCACCUCACGAACAGCAUCAGUUCUUCUUUGGCGUACGGUACCAGCAGGUGUCACUGCAACUUGGCGAAUUCCUGAAUUGCUUAGGCUUUCUCUUUACUGCAAAGCAAAGUUUCCAUGGUGACCGCACACACUUUAUAGCAAGUCUUAUGGUGGAAGAGUUCCAUCUUCC